GGACUCGUAGCUCAGUGGAAGACAGAGCGCGACUUUGCGAAGGUCGAGGUCGCACGUUCGAAUCGUGCCGAGUCCA
rnacentral:tRNA from 1 species